rnacentral:rRNA from 1 species
GGUGCUUGCAUCAUGAUUUACAUUUGAGUGAGUGGCGAACUGGUGAGUAACACGUGGGAAACCUGCCCAGAAGCGGGGGAUAACACCUGGAAACAGAUGCUAAUACCGCAUAACAACUUGGACCGCAUGGUCCGAGUUUGAAAGAUGGCUUCGGCUAUCACUUUUGGAUGGUCCCGCGGCGUAUUAGCUAGAUGGUGGGGUAACGGCUCACCAUGGCAAUGAUACGUAGCCGACCUGAGAGGGUAAUCGGCCACAUUGGGACUGAGACACGGCCCAAACUCCUACGGGAGGCAGCAGUAGGGAAUCUUCCACAAUGGACGAAAGUCUGAUGGAGCAACGCCGCGUGAGUGAAGAAGGGUUUCGGCUCGUAAAACUCUGUUGUUAAAGAAGAACAUAUCUGAGAGUAACUGUUCAGGUAUUGACGGUAUUUAACCAGAAAGCCACGGCUAACUACGUGCCAGCAGCCGCGGUAAUACGUAGGUGGCAAGCGUUGUCCGGAUUUAUUGGGCGUAAAGCGAGCGCAGGCGGUUUUUUAAGUCUGAUGUGAAAGCCUUCGGCUCAACCGAAGAAGUGCAUCGGAAACUGGGAAACUUGAGUGCAGAAGAGGACAGUGGAACUCCAUGUGUAGCGGUGAAAUGCGUAGAUAUAUGGAAGAACACCAGUGGCGAAGGCGGCUGUCUGGUCUGUAACUGACGCUGAGGCUCGAAAGUAUGGGUAGCAAACAGGAUUAGAUACCCUGGUAGUCCAUACCGUAAACGAUGAAUGCUAAGUGUUGGAGGGUUUCCGCCCUUCAGUGCUGCAGCUAACGCAUUAAGCAUUCCGCCUGGGGAGUACGGCCGCAAGGCUGAAACUCAAAGGAAUUGACGGGGGCCCGCACAAGCGGUGGAGCAUGUGGUUUAAUUCGAAGCUACCCGAAGAACCUUACCAGGUCUUGACAUACUAUGCAAAUCUAAAAAAUUAGACGUUCCCUUCGGGGACAUGGAUACAGGUGGUGCAU